GGGGUGCUAGCUCAGCUGGUUAGAGCGCUGGCCUGUCAAGCCAGAGGUCGCGGGUUCAAGUCCCGUGCAUCCCGCCA
rnacentral:tRNA from 1 species